UCAAGGGGCUCGUAAGAGCACCGGCGGACGGGUGCGUAACGCGUAUACAACGUGCCUCAGAGCGGGGGAUAGCAUUGGGAAACUGGUGGUAAGCCCCCAUGGUGUUGAGCUGUGGCAUCACAGCACAACUAAAGGUUACACUCUGAGAUCGGUGUGCGCCUGAUUAGCUAGUUGGCGGGGUAACGGCCCACCAAGGCGACGAUCAGUAGGGGGUGUGAGAGCAUGGCCCCCCACAUGGGUACUGAGACACGGACCCAACUCCUACGGGAGGCAGCAGUAAGGAAUAUUGGACAAUGGGCGCAAGCCUGAUCCAGCCAUGCCGCGUGAAGGACGAAGGCGCUCAGCGUUGUGAACUUCUUUUGGACGGGAACAAUACCCCCGACUUGUCGGGGCUUGAGGGUACCGUCAGAAUAAGCACCGGCUAACUCCGUGCCAGCAGCCGCGGUAAUACGGAGGGUGCGAGCGUUAUCCGGAAUCACUGGGUUUAAAGGGUGCGUAGGCGGUGCAGUAAGUCAGUCGUGAAAUCGCUGGGCUCAACCCAUGCAAUUGCGAUUGAUACUGCUGUACUUGAAUGGGGUUAAGGCAGGCGGAAUGUGGCAUGUAGCGGUGAAAUGCUUAGAUAUGCCAUAGAACACCGAUUGCGAAGGCAGCCUGCUGGGCCUUUAUUGACGCUGAGGCACGAAAGCGUGGGGAGCAAACA
rnacentral:rRNA from 1 species